rnacentral:rRNA from 1 species
CCAGUAGUCAUAUGCUUGUCUCAAAGAUUAAGCCAUGCAUGUCUCAGUACAAGCCAAAUUAAGGUGAAACCGCGAAAGGCUCAUUAAAUCAGUUAUGGUUCCUUAGAUCGUACCCACAUUUACUUGGAUAACUGUGGUAAUUCUAGAGCUAAUACAUGCAAACAGAGCUCCGACCGGAGACGGAAGGAGCGCUUUUAUUAGAUCAAAACCAAUCGGUGGCGGGUCUCCCGUCACCGUACACGUUGGUGACUCUGAAUAACUUAUUGCUGAUCGCACGGUCUCGCACCGGCGACGCAUCUUUCAAAUGUCUGCCUUAUCAACUGUCGAUGGUAGGUUCUGCGCCUACCAUGGUUGUAACGGGUAACGGGGAAUCAGGGUUCGAUUCCGGAGAGGGAGCCUGAGAAACGGCUACCACAUCCAAGGAAGGCAGCAGGCGCGCAAAUUACCCACUCCCGGCACGGGGAGGUAGUGACGAAAAAUAACGAUACGGGACUCAUCCGAGGCCCCGUAAUCGGAAUGAGUACACUCUAAAUCCUUUAACGAGGAUCAAUUGGAGGGCAAGUCUGGUGCCAGCAGCCGCGGUAAUUCCAGCUCCAAUAGCGUAUAUUAAAGUUGUUGCGGUUAAAAAGCUCGUAGUCGAAUUUGUGUCCCGCGCCGCUGGUUCAUCGCUCGCGGUGUCAACUGGCGUGUCCGCGGGACGUCCUGCCGGUGGGCUUAGCCCCUCGUGGGCGGCCCAAUCUCAAUCCCACCGCGGUGCUCUUCAUUGAGUGUCGAGGUGGGCCGGCACGUUUACUUUGAACAAAUUAGAGUGCUUAAAGCAGGCUAAAACAUCGCCUGAAUACUGUGUGCAUGGAAUAAUGGAAUAGGACCUCGGUUCUAUUUUGUUGGUUUUCGGAACCCCGAGGUAAUGAUUAAUAGGAACGGAUGGGGGCAUUCGUAUUGCGACGUUAGAG